rnacentral:rRNA from 1 species
UACGGGGGGGGCAAGCGUUGUUCGGAAUUACUGGGCGUAAAGAGCUCGUAGGCGGCCAACUAAGUCAGACGUGAAAUCCCUCGGCUUAACCGGGGAACUGCGUCUGAUACUGGAUGGCUUGAGUUUGGGAGAGGGAUGCGGAAUUCCAGGUGUAGCGGUGAAAUGCGCAGAUAUCGGGAAGAACACCCGUGGCGAAGGCGGUUCUCUGGGACGGUACUGGACGCUGAGACGCGAAAGCGUGGGGAGCGAACAGG